rnacentral:rRNA from 1 species
UCUUUACAUGGAAAUCAAUUUAUAUUAUAAAUUAUUUGUUUAAAUAUAAAAAUUGAUUUAUUGUUUCGUUGGGGCGAUGUAUAUAUAAAAAUUAACUGUUUAAUUUAUAAAAUCAUUUUAUAUGAUUAUUUUAUGAUCCUUUAUUUAAGAUUAAUAGAUUAAGAU